rnacentral:rRNA from 1 species
UACGUAGGGCGCAAGCGUUGUCCGGAAUUAUUGGGCGUAAAGAGCUCGUAGGCGGUUUGUCGCGUCUGCUGUGAAAAUCCGGGGCUCAACCCCGGACUUGCAGUGGGUACGGGCAGGCUAGAGUGUGGUAGGGGAGACUGGAAUUCCUGGUGUAGCGGUGGAAUGCGCAGAUAUCAGGAGGAACACCGAUGGCGAAGGCAGGUCUCUGGGCCACUACUGACGCUGAGAAGCGAAAGCAUGGGGAGCGAACAGG